rnacentral:rRNA from 1 species
CAGUAGCCGCGGGAAUACGUAGGGUGCAAGCGUUAAUCGGAAUUACUGGGCGUAAAGCGUGCGCAGGCGGUUCGCUAAGACAGAUGUGAAAUCUCCGGGCUUAACCUGGGAACUGCAUUUGUGACUGGCGGGCUAGAGUAUGGCAGAGGGGGGUAGAAUUCCACGUGUAGCAGUGAAAUGCGUAGAGAUGUGGAGGAAUACCGAUGGCGAAGGCAGCCCCCUGGCCAAUACUGACGCUCAUGCACGAAAGCGUGUGGAGCAAACAGGAUUAGAUACCCGUGUAGUCCCUGUCUCUUAUACC